GUAGUCUCGCACAGAUGCAUAUCAAUAAGCGGAGGAAAAGAAACUAACAAGGAUUCCCCUUAGUAACGGCGAGUGAAGCGGGAAGAGCUCAAAUUUGAAAUCUUCAAGGGUUUACCUUUACGAAUUGUAGUUUAAAGAAGUGUUUUCUGUUAAGGUUUUGGUAAAAGUUCUUUGGAAUAGGACAUCAUAGAGGGUGAGAAUCCCGUAUUUGACCAUUACUUUCAGCUGUGUGAUACACUUUCAAAGAGUCGGAUUGUUUGGGAAUGCAGUCCAAAAUGGGUGGUAAAUUUCAUCUAAAGCUAAAUAUUGGCGAGAGACCGAUAGCGAACAAGUACCGUGAGGGAAAGAUGAAAAGAACUUUGAAAAGAGAGUUAAACAGUACGUGAAAUUGUCAAAAGGGAAGCGUUUGACACCAGUGUUGUUUUUCUGAAAAUCAAUUAAAGAACUGUUUAUGCUAAGUUGUUUAGACUUUAUCAGCUAACUGUUUAGUUUUGAGCUUUUCUUUAAUGCACUUUUCAGUUAACAAGUCAACAUCAAUUUCUUUUGCUGUAAAAAAGCUUGAGGAAGGUGGCUUGAGAUUCGUCUUAAGUGUUUAUAGCCUCUUGCCUAUGCAGUCGGAGAGAUUGAGGUCUGCAGCGUAGAUCCUUCGGGGCUAAAUGCAUUUGUGCUAAGUUAUAGCAUUUUAUAGACAACUUGUUGACUAUGAUUUAGUCUUGUAGCUUACUCGCUUAUGUUAUUUUACCUACGCUUAGGAUGUUGAUGUGAUACUGCGAGCA
rnacentral:rRNA from 1 species